rnacentral:rRNA from 1 species
UACGUAGGGGGCAAGCGUUGUCCGGAAUCAUUGGGCGUAAAGAGCGUGUAGGCGGCUCGGUAAGUCCGCUGUAAAGGUCCAGGGCUCAACCCUGGAAAGCCGGUGGAAACUGUCGAGCUAGAGUCCGGAAGAAGCGAGUGGAAUUCCUGGUGUAGCGGUGAAAUGCGCAGAUAUCAGGAGGAACACCAAUGGCGAAGGCAGCUCGCUGGGACGGUACUGACGCUGAGACGCGAAAGCGUGGGGAGCAAACAGG